CACGUAGGGCGCAAGCGUUGUCCGGAAUUAUUGGGCGUAAAGAGCUCGUAGGCGGUCUGUUGCGUCCGCUGUGAAAGUCGGGGGCUCAACCCUCGAAUGCCGGUGGAUACUGUCGGACUAGAGUACGGAAGAGGCGAGUGGAAUUCCUGGUGUAGCGGUGAAAUGCGCAGAUAUCAGGAGGAACACCAAUGGCGAAGGCAGCACUCUGGGACGUGACUGACGCUGAGACGCGAAAGCGUGGGGAGCAAACAGG
rnacentral:rRNA from 1 species